CCCCCAGAGGUGUGGGACCCCGCGGAGCCGGGCCCGGGUGGGGACACCUGCGCGGAGACCCUCCCCACCCCCACGGAGGGCCCUGGGGGGCCGCUCGGCGAGACCCCCAGGUUGGGCCCUGGUGAGACCCACGGAGGAGUCUUAGUGGAGACUUUGUUGCUAUGGACCUUAGAAGACACUUGCCAAGCAGAUACCAAACCUGGGCCAUCGCAUCCCUGUCAGCAGCAGCGGGGUGUGCCCAGGUGGGCUGCGGGCUGCCUCACUGUUGGAGGAGGGUCCAGGAUGUCAGGCUGUGAAAUAGCACACCAUAGUUUUGAAGACAGAAGGGCCAUGGUCGGG